rnacentral:rRNA from 1 species
UUCGCAAUGCCCGAAAGGGUGACGAGGCGACGCCGCGUGUGGGAAGAAGGCCUUCGGGUUGUAAACCACUGUCGGGAGUUAGGAAAUGUAAGGGUGCUAAUAGUAUCCUUACUUGACUAAGGCUCCGGAGGAAGCCACGGCUAACUCUGUGCCAGCAGCCGCGGUAAUACAGAGGCGGCAAGCGUUGUUCGGAAUUAUUGGGCGUAAAGAGCACGUAGGCGGCCUUGUAAGUCAGUUGUGAAAGCCUUCUGCUUAACGGAAGAACAGCAGCUGAUACUGCAAGGCUAGAGUGCGGAAGGGGAGAGUGGAACUUCUGGUGGAGCGGUGAAAUGCGUAGAUAUCAGAAGGAACGCCGGCGGCGAAAGCGGCUCUCUGGCCCAUAACUGACGCUGAGUGUGCGAAAGCUAGGGGAGCAAACGGGAUUAGAUACCCCGGUAGUCCUAGCCGUAAAC